CAGUCGCCGCGGGAAUACGAAGGGGGCUAGCGUUGCUCGGAAUCACUGGGCGUAAAGGGUGCGUAGGCGGGUCUUUAAGUCAGGGGUGAAAUCCUGGAGCUCAACUCCAGAACUGCCUUUGAUACUGAAGAUCUUGAGUUCGGGAGAGGUGAGUGGAACUGCGAGUGUAGAGGUGAAAUUCGUAGAUAUUCGCAAGAACACCAGUGGCGAAGGCGGCUCACUGGCCCGAUACUGACGCUGAGGCACGAAAGCGUGGGGAGCAAACAGGAUUAGAUACCCCUGUAGUCCCUGUCUCUUAUAC
rnacentral:rRNA from 1 species